CGGUGGAUCACUUGGCUCAUGGAUCGAUGAAGACCGCAGCUAAAUGCGCGUCAUAAUGUGAACUGCAGGACACAUGAACAUUGAUAAGUUGAACGCAUAUUGCACGUCGUGGGAACCUACCAUGACGUACACAUACUUGAGCGCUUAUAAUUAGAAGUGGAAACGUGGACUUACGCAGUGAUUGGUGCUGGUCACCACGUCACGGUCGUGAAUAAUGAUGUAAGAUGGGGUCUCGUCGACCCGCUUGCAUUUAAAACGUGUGUGUUGGAAAAACCGCUAAGAAGGCAGACAAGUAGAAAGGGCUGUGUUCCCGCGGACGGCGGAGGAAGUAUAUUGAGCAGGCGCGUCCUUUGCUAUGUGUAGGUAUGGAACAGGUGUCUUCCUCUUCUAUUUUAAUUUUUUUUAAAAUUGAGGUAAGGCACCAACAAGUUUCGAUCGAGAUAGCAUGUACGCAAAUAAUCAUUGUAUGGAACCCCUGAACAACGGAACACUUAUGGCACUAGAGAACACUACCCAGAUUUGUUAUGUUAGCGGGCUGGACAACAAUAAUACAGCAAACAAAGGUCAAACAAUUAUCACUCCAAGAGUGAGGCCACUCGGUGGUCAGAUAAGCCUCAAGUUAUGUGUGACAACCCCCUGAAUUUAAGCAUAUUAAUAAGGGGAGGAAAAGAAACUAAC
rnacentral:rRNA from 1 species